rnacentral:rRNA from 1 species
UGCUUACGGGAGGCAGCAGUGAGGAAUAUUGGUCAAUGGCCGCAGGGCUGAACCAGCCAAGUCGCGUGAGGGAAGACGGCCCUACGGGUUGUAAACCUCUUUUGCCGGGGAGCAAGCCUGAGCACGUGUGCCCAGGCGGAGAGUACCCGGAGAAAAAGCAUCGGCUAACUCCGUGCCAGCAGCCGCGGUAAUACGGAGGAUGCGAGCGUUAUCCGGAUUUAUUGGGUUUAAAGGGUGCGCAGGCGGGCUGGUAAGCCGGCGGUAAAAAUUCAGGGCUCAACCCUGUCCAGGCGUCCGAACCGGCG